UGGGACACCUAUCAAGACACCUUGAAACGAAAAGGUCUUAUCAGAAUAAAUUGAAAAAGUAAAAUGGUUUGGAGCAGGAAUGGUCUGAUCAGCGCAUCUGAUGUAGUAGAAGUAACCUUUAAACACCCUUAAAACACAUGGAACCUUUAAGGAACAUCGCAUUCGAAAGCCACUCGUGGCUGGUCCAGUAUCAGCGAGCAGCUUCUAUGGCACCACUGACAUAGAAACUAUGGACAGGAAAUGCUCCACACAUUUGUCCAGCAGAUGGCCCUGUUGAGCAAGGCUGCCCCUUCCAAGAACAAUGGUCCCUCAAAACUGUCCUGUCUUUCCCUUGAAUAAUACUUGAAGAACAAGGGUCCUAUCAAAAAGAAUCUAAAGCAAGACAGCGUAAGAUGGUUCACUGUAACUCAGCCAACCAGUCAUUAAGCAAAUAGGACAAAAAACCUUCCAGUUUUUGUUUAAAUACUAUGUGCAACUUAAGUUUUUUGAUUUUGUUUCUUCUGAAUAUUUAAAGAUGCAUAAAUCACUGUAUAUUAUUAUAAUUUCAUAAUACUAACAUUGUAUG